rnacentral:rRNA from 1 species
GAUGAACGCUGGCGGCGUGCUUAACACAUGCAAGUCGAACGAGGAAACCAUUUUGGAAGUGAGUAGUUUACUAUGAGCGGACAUGUUGGUUUCCGAGUGGCGGACGGGUGAGUAACGCGUGGGGAACCUGCCUCAUACUGGGGGAUAACAACCAGAAAUGGUUGCUAAUACCGCAUAAGACCACAGAGUCGCAUGGCUCGGUGGUAAAAACUCCGGUGGUAUGAGAUGGACCCGCGUUGGAUUAGCUGGUUGGUGAGGUAACGGCCCACCAAGGCGACGAUCCAUAGCCGACCUGAGAGGGUGACCGGCCACAUUGGGACUGAGACACGGCCCAGACUCCUACGGGAGGCAGCAGUGGGGAAUAUUGCACAAUGGGGGAAACCCUGAUGCAGCGACGCCGCGUGAAGGAUGAAGUAUUUCGGUAUGUAAACUUCUAUCAGCAGGGAAGAAAAUGACGGUACCUGACUAAGAAGCCCCGGCUAAUUACGUGCCAGCCGCCGCCGUAACAC